UGGGGGAAUGGUUGAAGGUAGUGGAGGGUGGGGGAAGGGUUGAGGGUAAAAGAGGGGUAAGAAUUGAACUGAGGAUAGAGAGGGGGAAGGGUCGAGGGUG